rnacentral:rRNA from 1 species
AAGGCAGACGGCUCAGUAACGCGUAGUCAACCUAACCUAUGGACGGGAAUAACCUCGGGAAACUGAGAAUAAUGCCCGAUAGAACACUAUACCUGGAAUGGUUUGUGUUCCAAAUGAUUUAUCGCCGUAGGAUGGGACUGCGGCCUAUCAGUUUGUUGGUGAGGUAAUGGCCCACCAAGACUAUUACAGGUACGGGCUCUGAGAGGAGUAGCCCGGAGAUGGGUACUGAGACACGGACCCAGGCCCUAUGGGGCGCAGCAGGCGAGAAAACUUUGCAAUGUGCGAAAGCACGACAAGGUUAAUCCGAGUGGUUUCUGCUAAAGGAACCUUUUGUCGGUCCUAGAAACACCGAUGAAUAAGGGGUGGGCAAGUUCUGGUGU